GCUUACAGCCAUACUGUCCUGAAAGUGCCUGAUCUCGUGCGAUCUCAGAAGCUAAGCAGGGUAAGGCCUGGUUAGUACUUGGAUGGGAGACCGCCUGGGAAUACCAGGUGCUGGAAGUA